CAGUAUCUGACGCUGAAUGACGAAAGCGUGGGGAGCAAACAGGAUUAGAUACCCUGGUAGUCCACGCCGUAAACGUUGAGGACUAGGUGUCGGCCCAUUCAGGGUCGGUGCCGCAGGUAACCCAUUAAGUCCUCCACCUGGGGAGUACGUCCGCAAGGAUGAAACUCAAAGGAAUUGACGGGGGCCCGCACAAGCGGUGGAACAUGUGGUUCAAUUCGAUGCUACGCGAAGAAUCUUACCUAGGCUUGACAUGCUGGAAGUACUGAACCGAAAGGGGAUGGACCCGUUGAAUCGGGAGCCAGCACAGGUGGUGCAUGGCUGUCGUCAGCUCGUGCUGUGAAGUGUUGGGUUAAGUCCCGCAACGAGCGCAACCCACGUUUCUUGUUGCCAGCCGGGAUUUCGGUUUCGGCGCACUCAAGAGAGACUGCCGGCGAUGAGCUGGAGGAAGGUGUGGAUGACGUCAAGUCAGUACGCUCCUUAUGCCUAGGGCUACACACGUGUUACAAUGGCGCGUACAGAGGGGUAUGCGAUCCCGUGAGGAGGAGCUAAUCCCAAAAAGCGCGCCCCAGUUCGGAUUGGAGGCUGCAACUCGCCUCCAUGAAGUCGGAAUCGCUAGUAACGGCGGAUCAGCUACGCCGCCGUGAAUACGUUCCCGGGCCUUGUACACACCGCCCGUCAAGCGAUGGAAGUCGGGGGCACCCGAAGGCGGUCGCCUAACCCGCAAGGGAGGGCGCCGACGAAGGUGAACCUGGUAACUGGCGCUAAGUCGUAACAAGGCAGCCGUAUCGGAAGGUGUGGCUGGAUCACCUCCUUUCUA
rnacentral:rRNA from 1 species